UAGAGUAUGCUUCACUAAGAAAGACAA
rnacentral:piRNA from 1 species